rnacentral:lncRNA from 1 species
CUCCGAAGAAGGUUUGAAGAAACUAGAAGGCUCAUCCGAGGUAGUGAACCUGGAGGACCAAUCAGAAGUCACUAAGUUAGCUGUGACCAACUUGGAUAUUAGCCAACACUGCGAAGAUGGUUUGAAGAAACUAGAUGGCGCAUCCCAGAUAGUGAACCUGGAGGACCAAUCAGAAGUCACCAAGUUAUCUGUGACCAACUUUGAUAUUAGCAACUGCUGUGAAGAUGGUUUGAAGAAACUAGAUGGCGCAUCCCAGAUAGUGAACCUGGAGGACCAAUCAGAAGUCACCAAGUUAUCUGUGACUAACUUUGAUAUUAGCAACUGCUGUGAAGAUGGUUUGAAGAAACUAGAAGGCUCAUCCGAGGUAGCGAACCUGGAGGACCAAUCAGAAGUCACAAAGUUAGCUGGACAAUAGAUAUUAGAAUAGCAACAUGUAAAUUAUUUAUUUCUUCCUUUUUAUCUUUUCUCUGAUCGUCAGUCUCUCCACCUUUCUCUUUUCUUGAUUGAUGAUGAGAGUGUCUUUUCUUCGUCCACCUUUCCUGAAACUUUUUUUUCCCCAAGGAAUUUCCCUUCGCUGGUUGCCAACUCUAUUAUUUACCAGCUCCAGAGUAGGAUCGUGUGAUGCUGUACUCUGUAUUCUCAUGUACACUGAUUACAAACCAUUGAUAGUAUUUGUAGACAUUACAACACAAAGGAAGUUCAUUCUUCUAUUUUUGUAUAUUUGUUUUUAUCCUCCUAACUCCAGUUUUGAAUGCUGGUUUG